UUCUUGGACGGUGUUCUUCACCACUCUUUCCAGUGAGUUAUAUUCUACUUAGCUCGAGUUUGGUUUCUAUGGUUUACGGCGACGGUCCUUUGCUCCGGAAUUUGCUUUUGACUCUUUACUUUUGUGUCUCUCUGUUUUACACCAGCGAGUAAUCUAUCGCAGCUCAGGUUAUUGCUAUUCGGUUUUCGAGUGGCAUCGAAUGUCAUUGCGGUCACUGUGAGGUGUCAACGUUCGACUUAUCUCACAUCCAGUGCCGUGAGUGAAUUCUUGUUCAUUUGUGGUAUUGUAGAUGGCUUACUUGUGCCGGAUUGGAAGAGUUACUAAGCUCUUUGUAGCGGCAAGUUCAAGCCCGCUCUUUGGCAGUUGCGGGUCUACAAAGCUCGUGUCAAGCUUGGGUGGGUCUUUGUGCAUCUCUGUUACUGUAUGUCUGUGGUGGCAAUGGCGAUGUGCUAUAACUUUAGCUGCGGUGGAUCAUUUUAAGGUAUGGUUGCUCGUAACACCCUCUUCAUUUGCCCGUCUUGUGUUUCAUUUCCAAAGGAGGUUAUAGGCCUUGGCUAGAUCCCCGAAACCCAACUAUUUCAGGCGUCGUACCGGAAAACCAACAUAUAAGGAAACAUGAUUUAACCCACCAUUCUCGGGAUUAACGACAACGGUUGAGAACGGGAAUCUGGUUAUCUAGGGAUUUUAGAAUGGUCUAGCAGAAUCUGUCGGUUUAGGUAGUUGAUGCGAAGGUAGUGCUAUGAUAUUUGAAUCUAGACAAGCUUUUGGUUGAAGUCGGGUUAGUAAACGCCAUUGUAUUCCCAUCUCGGAUUUUAUAUAAUAUUAUAUAUUUAAUUUUAAAAAAAAAGUGUCAGCCCACUUCAUUUUCUUUCCUCCAGCAUAAGUGAAUGUCACACUCAAAUAGAAUUUUGAUAGUCUCUAAAAUCACUUUAGAAUCUACUUCCUCCUAUGUAUUUGGUUUUGGAGCUCUCAAUUAGGAUUCUAUGUUUUUGGUUUUAAGGAUCGAGCCCAUUUAAACCAUUGGUCGGAUUUUCGGCUUUUCUUGGGUUAGUCCUAUUGUGUGUUCUCUUCAUGAGUUAGUUAUAUUCCCUUUAUCUUCAUGAUAUCACAAUUGUUUCAAAACUUAAUUUAUUCCAGGAAUUUCAAAGUGGUCAUGUGGCGGCUAUAUUUGUUCUCAUAUCUCAAGUUGGUGGUCUCGCCUUACUUUGACAAAAAGCAGACCGCGUGAUUGUGGUUGACCCGGCUUUGAAUCCAAGAGCGUUGAUCGAGCAUACAGAAUUGGAACCAAGGAUGUCAUUGUGUAUAGGUUAAUGACCUCAGCAACUGUCGAAGAAAAUAUUUACAGAAAGCAGGUGUACAAGGGAGGCUUGUUUAAAAACCGUGACUGAGCAUAAAGAACAAAUCCGCUAUUUCAGCCAACAGGACCUUCGAGAACUUUUCAGUCUUCCUAAGGAAGGAUUUGAUGUUUCACCUACACAACAGCAACUAUACGAAGAGCAUUACAACCAGAUCAAACUAGAUGAAUUUCUAGAAUCCCAUGUUAAGUUCCUGGAAACUCUACGUAUAUCUGGAGUGAGUCAUCACAGCUUACUCUUCUCCAAGACUGCUCCAAUACAACAAAACGAAGUAGAAGAAAUAAGAAAAAAAAAAGGAGAAGGAGAGGAACAACAUCAUACUUGGGAGGUCCAUCAGCAAGCUCUUCUCAGGACAACAUGAACAAUGGGGCUGAGUAUGCUUUCAAACCAAAGGACGUGAAACUGGACAAAAGAAUCAUCAACAUUUCUCCAAUAGAUGAAUAUGACUUGUCGGAAAGAGAGAUUAAAGCAAGAGUCAGUCGGUUAUCUAUGCUAUUCCAGAACAAGGUAAGACAUGAAUCAACACUUGUAAAUAACAUGUAAUAAUCUAGCAAAAGCUUCAGGUUUCUCUAAGUCUCUGUUUUUGGGUUUCAUAUGUGAGAGAAAGUAUGGUCGCAAGUUUACCUGAUAGAGGAGCGAAAAUACAGAAACAGAUUGCUGAAUUGACUCGAGAGCUUGAAGAAAUAAAGGCAGCACAAAGCAGCGAUAUGUCUCAUCAAGUUAUUGAUAUAAGCCAGAAGAUGCAUAUAAUCUUACAAAGUUAAAACUGUAUAAAUUUUCUAAAUAUGAUAGACGUCUAUAACUAAACAUGUAAGUUGGUAUACUGGUUUCUAAGACAUGGUUUGAGAAGUUUGAUGGAAAAGAAAGCAUUGAUUAUA